rnacentral:rRNA from 1 species
UACGUAGGGUGCGAGCGUUGUCCGGAAUUAUUGGGCGUAAAGAGCUCGUAGGCGGUGUGUCACGUCGGCCGUGAAAACCUGCAGCUUAACUGUGGGCGUGCGGUCGAUACGGGCAUCACUGGAGUUCGGCAGGGGAGACUGGAAUUCCUGGUGUAGCGGUGAAAUGCGCAGAUAUCAGGAGGAACACCGGUGGCGAAGGCGGCUCUCUGGACAAAUACCGACGCUGAGGCACGAAAGCUAGGGGAGCAAACAGG